rnacentral:rRNA from 1 species
GGGUUGUGAGGUUAAGCGACUAAGCGUACACGGUGGAUGCCCUGGCAGUCAGAGGCGAUGAAGGACGUGCUAAUCUGCGAUAAGCGUCGGUAAGGUGAUAUGAACCGUUAUAACCGGCGAUUUCCGAAUGGGGAAACCCAGUGUGAUUCGUCACACUAUCAUUAACUGAAUCCAUAGGUUAAUGAGGCGAACCGGGGGAACUGAAACAUCUAAGUACCCCGAGGAAAAGAAAUCAACCGAGAUUCCCCCAGUAGCGGCGAGCGAACGGGGAGCAGCCCAGAGCCUGAAUCAGUGUGUGUGUUAGUGGAAGCGUCUGGAAAGGCGCGCGAUACAGGGUGACAGCCCCGUACACAAAAAUGCACAUACUGUGAGCUCGAUGAGUAGGGCGGGACACGUGGUAUCCUGUCUGAAUAUGGGGGGACCAUCCUCCAAGGCUAAAUACUCCUGACUGACCGAUAGUGAACCAGUACCGUGAGGGAAAGGCGAAAAGAACCCCGGCGAGGGGAGUGAAAAAGAACCUGAAACCGUGUACGUACAAGCAGUGGGAGCACAGAGCAAUCUGUGUGACUGCGUACCUUUUGUAUAAUGGGUCAGCGACUUAUAUUCUGUAGCAAGGUUAACCGAAUAGGGGAGCCGAAGGGAAACCGAGUCUUAACUGGGCGUUAAGUUGCAGGGUAUAGACCCGAAACCCGGUGAUCUAGCCAUGGGCAGGUUGAAGGUUGGGUAACACUAACUGGAGGACCGAACCGACUAAUGUUGAAAAAUUAGCGGAUGACUUGUGGCUGGGGGUGAAAGGCCAAUCAAACCGGGAGAUAGCUGGUUCUCCCCGAAAGCUAUUUAGGUAGCGCCUCGUGAAUUCAUCUCCGGGGGUAGAGCACUGUUUCGGCAAGGGGGUCAUCCCGACUUACCAACCCGAUGCAAACUGCGAAUACCGGAGAAUGUUAUCACGGGAGACACACGGCGGGUGCUAACGUCCGUCGUGAAGAGGGAAACAACCCAGACCGCCAGCUAAGGUCCCAAAGUCAUGGUUAAGUGGGAAACGAUGUGGGAAGGCCCAGACAGCCAGGAUGUUGGCUUAGAAGCAGCCAUCAUUUAAAGAAAGCGUAAUAGCUCACUGGUCGAGUCGGCCUGCGCGGAAGAUGUAACGGGGCUAAACCAUGCACCGAAGCUGCGGCAGCGACGCUGAUGCGUUGUUGGGUAGGGGAGCGUUCUGUAAGCCUGUGAAGGUGUGCUGUGAGGCAUGCUGGAGGUAUCAGAAGUGCGAAUGCUGACAUAAGUAACGAUAAAGCGGGUGAAAAGCCCGCUCGCCGGAAGACCAAGGGUUCCUGUCCAACGUUAAUCGGGGCAGGGUGAGUCGACCCCUAAGGCGAGGCCGAAAGGCGUAGUCGAUGGGAAACAGGUUAAUAUUCCUGUACUUGGUGUUACUGCGAAGGGGGGACGGAGAAGGCUAUGUUGGCCGGGCGACGGUUGUCCCGGUUUAAGCGUGUAGGCUGGUUUUCCAGGCAAAUCCGGAAAAUCAAGGCUGAGGCGUGAUGACGAGGCACUACGGUGCUGAAGCAACAAAUGCCCUGCUUCCAGGAAAAGCCUCUAAGCAUCAGGUAACAUCAAAUCGUACCCCAAACCGACACAGGUGGUCAGGUAGAGAAUACCAAGGCGCUUGAGAGAACUCGGGUGAAGGAACUAGGCAAAAUGGUGCCGUAACUUCGGGAGAAGGCACGCUGAUAUGUAGGUGAAGUCCCUCGCGGAUGGAGCUGAAAUCAGUCGAAGAUACCAGCUGGCUGCAACUGUUUAUUAAAAACACAGCACUGUGCAAACACGAAAGUGGACGUAUACGGUGUGACGCCUGCCCGGUGCCGGAAGGUUAAUUGAUGGGGUCAGCGCAAGCGAAGCUCUUGAUCGAAGCCCCGGUAAACGGCGGCCGUAACUAUAACGGUCCUAAGGUAGCGAAAUUCCUUGUCGGGUAAGUUCCGACCUGCACGAAUGGCGUAAUGAUGGCCAGGCUGUCUCCACCCGAGACUCAGUGAAAUUGAACUCGCUGUGAAGAUGCAGUGUACCCGCGGCAAGACGGAAAGACCCCGUGAACCUUUACUAUAGCUUGACACUGAACAUUGAGCCUUGAUGUGUAGGAUAGGUGGGAGGCUUUGAAGUGUGGACGCCAGUCUGCAUGGAGCCGACCUUGAAAUACCACCCUUUAAUGUUUGAUGUUCUAACGUUGACCCGUGAUCCGGGUUGCGGACAGUGUCUGGUGGGUAGUUUGACUGGGGCGGUCUCCUCCUAAAGAGUAACGGAGGAGCACGAAGGUUGGCUAAUCCUGGUCGGACAUCAGGAGGUUAGUGCAAUGGCAUAAGCCAGCUUGACUGCGAGCGUGACGGCGCGAGCAGGUGCGAAAGCAGGUCAUAGUGAUCCGGUGGUUCUGAAUGGAAGGGCCAUCGCUCAACGGAUAAAAGGUACUCCGGGGAUAACAGGCUGAUACCGCCCAAGAGUUCAUAUCGACGGCGGUGUUUGGCACCUCGAUGUCGGCUCAUCACAUCCUGGGGCUGAAGUAGGUCCCAAGGGUAUGGCUGUUCGCCAUUUAAAGUGGUACGCGAGCUGGGUUUAGAACGUCGUGAGACAGUUCGGUCCCUAUCUGCCGUGGGCGCUGGAGAAUUGAGGGGGGCUGCUCCUAGUACGAGAGGACCGGAGUGGACGCAUCACUGGUGUUCGGGUUGUCAUGCCAAUGGCACUGCCCGGUAGCUAAAUGCGGAAGAGAUAAGUGCUGAAAGCAUCUAAGCACGAAACUUGCCCCGAGAUGAGUUCUCCCUGACUCCUUGAGAGUCCUGAAGGAACGUUGAAGACGACGACGUUGAUAGGCCGGGUGUGUAAGCGCAGCGAUGCGUUGAGCUAACCGGUACUAAUGAACCGUGAGGCUUAACCUUACAACGCCGAAG